rnacentral:rRNA from 1 species
UACGAAGGUCCCAAGCGUUGUUCGGAAUCACUGGGCGUAAAGGGAGCGUAGGCGGCGUGGUAAGUCAGAUGUGAAAUCCCGGGGCUCAACCCCGGAACUGCAUCCGAUACUGCCAUGCUAGAGGAUUGGAGAGGUAGCUGGAAUUCUUGGUGUAGCAGUGAAAUGCGUAGAGAUCAAGAGGAACACUCGUGGCGAAAGCGAGCUACUGGACAAUUCCUGACGCUGAGGCUCGAAGGCCAGGGUAGCGAAAGGGAUUAGAAACCCCCGUAGUCC